GGGGUUUGGCGUGGUAUGGCUUGGCUUUAGGGGCUGGCAAAAGUGCAAGGGCAGGGAUGCGGCGGCUCGGGCACGCUGCAUGCAAAACGGUCGCUCUGGGCGCACUCAGAGUGCACCCACAAGUUGUUCGACAAAAUGACAACACACUCAAAAGAGUUCUGAAGCUUAUGCAAACACAGAGAAGUAGGCUAGAGACUAAGGCAAAGCUACUAGACAAGAAUCUAGGGUCAGGGGAGAAACUCAACAUUGCAGACACAAAUCCAUGCCAAAUCAGUACAGGAACUCAAGGUGUUCAACAGAAUGUCAAGGGCACCUAGGGAGCUCCUUUGGCCACCAAAAUUACCAUAUUAGGGUCUCCUUAGGUGUUAGUCAUGAUGGUCAAGUUAGUUUGGCAAAAGGUUAAACUUGUUAAUGCAAAGUUUUGAGAAAAUCAAUUCUGGCCAACAGGUUUAGACUAUUAUUACAUGCAUUUAAAAUCAUCCAAUGGUGCUCAACUUUUGUACUAAAG
rnacentral:lncRNA from 1 species